CCCAGAUGGAGGAGACAUGCAACAGGAACAUUGAGGAACUUGAGAACAGGCUGUUGCGUGAAAACGCUGCUGGGAUUAAGAAGCAGCUGCCAGUCCCUUUCACGUGCCUGUCCUGUGACCGCAUGCUCACCGUGCAGGUCCCUGGCCAGUACCCCGAGACUCUCCCGUAUUUGCCGCCGCUGCCCCCCAGCAAGGAGCCACCGCACAGCCAAA